GACGAACGCUGGCGGCGUGCUUAAUACAUGCAAGUCGAACGCAGUGGGGACGGGUGAGUAACACGUGGGUAACCUCCCAUCAGAGGGGAUAACACUUGGAAACAGGUGUUAAACGGAUACGGAUGGAUGGAACCGCGGUGCAUUAGCUAGUUGGGGAGGUACCGGCUCACCAAGGCCACGAUGCAUAGCCGACCUGCGAGUGUGAUCGGCCCAACUGGGACUGAGACACGGCCCCUGCUCCUCCGGGAGGCAGCAGUAGGGAGUCUUCGGCAAUGGACGAAAGUCUGACCGAGCAGCGCCGCGUGAGUGAAGAAGUUUUUCGGAUCUUAAAUCUCUUUUGUUAGAGAAGCGGUAUCUAACCAGUACGCCACGGCUAACUACGUGCCAGCAGCCGCGGUAAUUC
rnacentral:rRNA from 1 species